ensembl:lncRNA
CAAGAAAUGUCCUGGUAUGAGAGGAGACUGAAGAGACAGCUAAGGACUGGGGGAGAUUACUGUGAUUACUUGAAACAGCGGUGGAACUCCUGAAGAAAGAGGUUAAGAGAGGCCCUUGGAAGAAUAACAGGCUUCUCUGGUGGCUCAGAUGGUAAAGAAUCUGCAUGCAAUGCAGAAGACUCAGGUUUGAUCCCUGGGUCUGGAAGAUCCCCUGGAGAGGUAACGGCUCCCCACUCCAAUAAUAUUGCCUGGAGAAUUCCAUGGACAGAGGAGGCUGGCAGGACGACCGAGCAGCUACCACUUCCACUUUCACUUUUCGUGUGUUCAUUUUCAUAGGAUUACAAUUUGAGGGGGAUGACUGAUGUGGAUUUAUCUUCUUCAAACACUGGUUCACAGUGUAGGUGCC